UGAGGAAUAUUGGUCAAUGGGCGAGAGCCUGAACCAGCCAAGUAGCGUGCAGGAUGACGGCCCUAUGGGUUGUAAACUGCUUUUAUAUGGGAAUAAAGUGAGGGACGUGUCCCUUAUUGCAUGUACCAUACGAAUAAGGACCGGCUAAUUCCGUGCCAGCAGCCGCGGUAAUAAGGAAGGUCCAGGCGUUAUCCGGAUUUAUUGGGUUUAAAGGGAGCGUAGGCUGUUUGUUAAGCGUGUUGUGAAAUGUAGGAGCUCAACUUUUAGAUUGCAGCGCGAACUGGCAGACUUGAGUGCGCACAACGUAGGCGGAAUUCAUGGUGUAGCGGUGAAAUGCUUAGAUAUCAUGACGAACUCCGAUUGCGAAGGCAGCUUACGGGAGCGCAACUGACGCUAAAGCUCGAAGGUGCGGGUAUCGAACAGG
rnacentral:rRNA from 1 species